GUAGAUAUGUAUAGAAAUGUUCUUUCUUUCUUGUAAAGUAUGCAAAUAUCAAGGAAUGAAUGUGUCUGUAAUCUACAAUUCACAACAAUAGUGGAACUUGCCUUUAACUGAAUAAUUAUUUGUCAUAUUUAGGACAAGUGCUUGUGGCAGCUGUCUUCUCUGAACAGCAGUCUGGUGAACACCGGUGAACACCGGCCUCAGUACACUGAAGAUCUAAGAAAACACUUCACACCCUACAACCCCUAAAAAUAACCCAGAUUUGACAGAACUACACACCCAUCUGAGGCCUACCUGUUUUACUUCAUUAUCACCCCACAUACUUCUACAACUAACCCGCUUUGUAAGUUCUCAUAGUUACACCUUAAAGCAGCACAUAAUUUUGGAAACAUUUCCUGUGUA